rnacentral:rRNA from 1 species
GAUGAACGCUGGCGGCGUGCCUAAUACAUGCAAGUCGAGCGAACAGACGAGGAGCUUGCUCCUUUGACGUUAGCGGCGGACGGGUGAGUAACACGUGGAUAACCUACCUAUAAGACUGGGAUAACUUCGGGAAACCGGAGCUAAUACCGGAUAACAUGUUGAACCGCAUGGUUCAACAGUGAAAGACGGUCUUGCUGUCACUUAUAGAUGGAUCCGCGCCGCAUUAGCUAGUUGGUAAGGUAACGGCUUACCAAGGCAACGAUGCGUAGCCGACCUGAGAGGGUGAUCGGCCACACUGGAACUGAGACACGGUCCAGACUCCUACGGGAGGCAGCAGUAGGGAAUCUUCCGCGAUGGGCGAAAGCCUGACGGAGCAACGCCGCGUGAGUGAAGAAGGUCUUCGGAUCGUAAAACUCUGUUAUUAGGGAAGAACAAAUGUGUAAGUAACUAUGCACGUCUUGACGGUACCUAAUCAGAAAGCCACGGCUAACUACG